UGUCCUCCUCAUAGUUCGGGUUGUCCGCUCUCGCGUUCCCUCCAACCGACCGCGCUCUUCUCCUUCGCCCCCAAUCUCUUCUCGGUGUCCCUCUUCGCCUCGCUUCUUUCCGCCGCCUCCUCCUCUCGCUGCCUUCCCCAUCGAGCCAUCUCCUCUUCUUCCUCGGUAAAUAUUCGCGCUUCCGCUGCUUCGAUCUCGCGUGGUCUGUCGCCGGGCUGCGCCCCUCCCCGCCCCGCCCUACGAUUCGUUGCCGAUCGGCUCGGUUGGUAACGGAUUCUUGCGGAGCGUUUCAUCGAUCAGCAACUUCCAUCUCCUCCGCCCUUUCUUUCCGCUUCUUCCCGUGUUCCCCAGAGAAAUCCACAUUGCUCGUUCCCACAACAUCUUUGCUGGAAUGCUCAUUCGGGGAUCUCCUCUUCUCUGGAUCCGAUUCCCUAACAACCCUAGUUCCAGAGGUCGUUGCCGGUUCCUCCUCUCCCUCGGGUUCUCGUCCUCCUCGGACAGUUCAUGGCAUGUAGCAUUGGUUGUCAUGGAACACAAGGGGACUGCUCAUUGUAGUGGGAUCUCUGAGUUCUUGCUGCCGCAGAUGUAUCCAUUAUUAUUUCUUCAUGUGGUACAUUACCUGAUCUGCCAAAGAAUUGGUGCCCAGAAACCGAUCAAGGCGGCGUGGGGAAAUGGCUGCCGGAGAUAUCUUGGUGCAAAAUUGACACGGGCGGGGAGUAAGUGAGGGCGACAAGGGAAGGGGAGGAGUUGAUCCAGGCGACCACGGGGAUCAUGCUCUUGCUCACGUCCACCUUCAACAAGCGAUGUCAAGAGGGCAUCGAGCGGUGUCAGAGCCUAAUAGUGUCAAGUAGUGAGUUGCUACAAUCUUUAACUAAUUUUACUUGCUUCAUUUGUAUGAACGAGAAAACAAGUUAGAAAAAGGAUUUAACUCGAGAUAAUAUUUUAAUAAAUACUUGAUAGAUAAUAUAAAUUAUAAAUAUAUAAUUUAUAAGUUUUAAA